rnacentral:rRNA from 1 species
AGUGAACGCUGGCGGUAGGCCUAACACAUGCAAGUCGAACGGCAGCACAGGAGAGCUUGCUCUCUGGGUGGCGAGUGGCGGACGGGUGAGGAAUACAUCGGAAUCUACCUUUUCGUGGGGGAUAACGUAGGGAAACUUACGCUAAUACCGCAUACGACCUACGGGUGAAAGUGGGGGACCGCAAGGCCUCACGCGAUUAGAUGAGCCGAUGUCCGAUUAGCUAGUUGGCGGGGUAAUGGCCCACCAAGGCGACGAUCGGUAGCUGGUCUGAGAGGAUGAUCAGCCACACUGGAACUGAGAAACGGUCCAGACUCCUACGGGAGGCAGCAGUGGGGAAUAUUGGACAAUGGGCGCAAGCCUGAUCCAGCCAUACCGCGUGGGUGAAGAAGGCCUUCGGAUUGUAAAGCCCUUUUGUUGGGAAAGAAAUCCUAUCGGUUAAUAACCGGUGGGGAUGACGGUACCCAAAGAAUAAGCACCGGCUAACUUCGUGCCAGCCGCCGCCGUAAUAC